UACAAUGUUAUUUUGAUUAGGGCUUAUUCUCAUGUAAUUCUUGGACAUUUACUGGGUUUUUCUGUUAACAUUAGUUCUGCUGUUCCUUUUUUUCUUUCUUUCUAGGAAGAGGUAUGAGGUCUCCUGAGCUGUUCAUUGGUAUUUCAGGUGUUGAUGUGAUUUCAGGUGUUGAUUGAAAUGGAGACUCAAGAGAGAUGAUCUACCGAAGAACAUCCAAACCAAACCUAUACCUGCACCUUAUGCUUCAAGGCAUCCUGCAUGAACAGAGAUCCUUUAGUGUCCGGUCCUCUUUUCCCUAAUAGGCCUAAGAUUACUAGUAAGGAGCCUCAACUGGUCUGGGUUUGAGUCACAAAUCCUCACCUGUGAAUAGUUCUGGAUAGUUUUUUUUUUUCUGUGAAUAAGAUGGGAAUAACCAGGUCUGCCUUGCAAGUUAGUUGUGAGAACACCAUCAUAUAAUCUGAGAAAAAAAAAUUCUCCCACCAGGAAAAGCACUCAGCGCUAUUGGUUUAUGAAUGUUAAAUAUUCCAAAGAGCCCCCGCCUGUUUCCUCGGUGCUUGGGUUAUAAGUGCACACUGUUGUUCCUGGCCUUUUAAAGUGAGUUCUGUGGAUGAACUCAGGUCCUCAUGUCUGUACGCUGAGCACUUUAUCAACUGAGCCAUCUUCCCUGCCCCAGUUUUUAAAAGAAUCAGUUAAUCAGAUGAUGUGCGUCUUAAACAGUAGUCUCUGACGUCCUACACCCUUGGGUAACUGGCCAGCUAUAUAUCCCCUCUUUGACUCCUCUCCCCCACUACAAUCACCAGGGUUCGAAGCCAAGGCUAUGAAACAACGCUCACACUUCCUUAAAUGCUGCACUGUUUCCUCUAAUCCCUGUUCCUCCUUUAUUCUUGAAUCUUACUUCUGAUUGGCCCCUCCCACACCUGCUAUGAUCCUGCAGCCUCAUGCUUCUCAGACUCUCCCAAGCAAGCAGGCUUCUUUCACACUUGCAUUUUAGUAUGUCUCAUCCUAAAAGCCCUUGCCUAAUCUGGAGCCCUCAUCUCAGGAUCCUGGCCGGUUACUAGGCCAUUCCUAAUCUUGUUAUUCCUUUCCUUUGCCUACCAUGAUGAUGCCUGUGUUUAUCAUUGUCUGAAGCACGCUGCUACAAUGUUAUAGAUUCACCUUUUUUCCUUUUGCCAGACUAGGAGAUUCCUGGGGGAAGACCUUGGUUUUUCUCUCUCCCUAGCUUUGAAAUUGUGUCUAACUAUAGGAAAUAAUAAAUGGUUGAAUAAAUUAGAUUAAGUUAAACUCUGUA